AAUAUUUGAAGUGACGUAAUUAUUGCUUUGUACGUGACUUUUGUGUUGAAUUAUUAGCUUAGAGUGGGUUGUAUGAGAUGUAUGACAGACGCAAAACAGGGGAAGGUUGAAAGAGCAGCACCACACCUACUGGCAAACUACCCAGCCGUUGUUUGCGUCACCCCACCACGAGUACUGGAUAGCAGUUCGACCGCUCGUUCCAACCUGCUGUGCUUUAUCGCUUUAUCUACUCUUUCAAAAUCAAUACUGUACUGACACAGAAAGCAAUAAUUGUAUAUACCGUGAAGUCCUACAACAUUUCUGCAACCAUUUAUACCUGAAAGACUAUUCAGUGUUACUAAGGAUUCGGAGCUGCUUCGAAAUACAGCUUGAACAUCCCGCUCAUCCUCCCAGACCGCAGUACUGCCGCGUUAGCUUUGAUGUGAAGGCGUGUGACAGUUUAUGCGAUUUGCCUCACUUGUUUACGACGUACCUUAUAAGGGAUGAGGUGGUGAGUGCUACCCAAGACCCACGUGCAGCCUGUCACUCACGCCCCAGCAGGUAUGAUGAGUAGUUAGUGAGUGCAUCCCCUUGUGCUUGAGUGCGUGAUGAAGGAAGGAGCAGUUUGAGACUCAUGGUUGGUCAAGACGUGGCGUGUGCUGCCAAAUCCUCACCUGCAGCCUAUCACUCACCCCACGCUGAUGUGGUGACUGAUGUAAAAUUCUCGUAUGGCAUGAAAAACUAGCGUCUCAAAACAAGCGAGGCAGUGGAGCAGAGAAACCAGACUCUUUUGUGCUCUGAAGGGGCCGCAGAAUUCCUAGAUCUCCCAAAGCAGAACGGAAGGUCUCCCCGCCAAGUGCUGUGCCACUGCAUUGCUCCCAGACGCUGCUCCGUGAUAAGGCCUCGGCGCUCACGUGACUCUGCCUCGUAGCUUUUAAUUGUAACAAAUUGCCUCCAUGAACGAUGAUGCACACGGGAACUGGCUGGAGGGAGGCGCGGAGAGUCCAGGCGGGGGAUUCUUACCGUCUCGUUAUGCGACCCGGGAAGAGAUGUAGGACAGGAAACGAAGAAACAAGGACACAAGGAGACAAGGGAAGAUGCAAGAAGCCACCAGGCCCUCACGUGGCAUUCUUUGCAUUGAAGCUAGAAAUAGAACGGCACAGUGGGCGUAGCGGAAGUGGGUUUACGCCAGGAGGUCCAUUGGGUAAUUUAAGGUUUAGUGCGUGACCAUGACCACCGCAAGCGAGGAUAAUCCAGAGAGAGAGAGAGAGAGAGAGAGAGAGAGAGAGAGAGAGAGAGAGAGAGAGAGAGAGAGAGAGAGAGAGAGAGAGAGAGAGAGAGUUUCUCACUUUGGGAAAUCCAGUGGUGAUGAAGACAAGGGCAAAGAGACAGAAGUUUAUUAUUCCUGAUUCAAUUUACAGAUUCUUCAGAGGAAAGCGGACACGGAUAAACUUGACAGGAAUAAACUUCUAUUCCUAUAUCCCUGUUUUCAUCAGCACUGGGUUAUACUUUUCCUAAAAAGUCUCGAACGUCUCUUGUUAAUGUAAGAUUGAGUGGCCAAAGACAACAAAAAGGAAAGGAAAAAGGCCAUUUAAGUUGAGAGUCACUAAAGAAAAAAGAGCCAAAAGGAUUACUCAAAAUCGAAGAAGUGUCUUGCUUACUAAAUGUGCUGCACUGCGGUGUAUGUGUGCCUGAGUUACAUGUAGAGGGAGUGUCACAUUGGUCAGAGUUAGAAGUAAAUGUGGCGCCACUAACCCGUGAUUAAAACCAUUGCCGUGUACAGGAAUAAGCGAGCACGAGAAGACCAUGAAAGGACAAUUUACGGAGUAGUUAAAAUUCUUGACAAAACAGCGGUCGCGUAGUAGCACGUCCGUUACUUGAAGUUAUUGGCUACUUUGCUUAAAAAAAAAAAAAAAUCGGCAAAAAAAAGUACACUGUUGAAUUAUAUAAAACAGUUGUUGAAGUAAAGUAAAUCUGUUUAGAAAAUAGGUAAAUAGUUAAAUAUUUAUAAAACAUUAAUAUCAUAGUAACACGUGUAUUACUGCAAGUUAUUGAGCACUUUUUAAAUAUUCAGCAAACACAAGGUACGCGGUUGUAUCAUAAAAAAAAAAAGUUGUUCAAAUGAAGUGUACUCUGCCAUCUAGUAAUUAGUAAAUGUCUUGACAAAACGGAGGUACCACAGUGGUAAGUCCGUUAUUCUAAGUUAUAAGGUACUUUACUUAAGGCUAUUCAACAAGGUACGGAGUUGAAUAAUAUAGAACAGUUGGAAACUACACAAGACUAUACUCGGUCCUGCAGUCCUUGACAUGCUCGCUAGGAAGGGCUACAAUAAAACCGGGAAAUGGUUACUGGAAAAUUAGGUGAGCGGGUGGAAAUAACUGUCAUCCUCAUUCAAUACAUCUGGAAACUACACAAGGUCCUACUCGGCCCUCCUGUCAUCACCAUACCCACUAGGGAAGGUUACAUCAAAGUAGAGAAAGGGACACUAGAAAAGUAGGUGUGCGAGUGAAAAUAACUCAAACAGGUGAAGUCGUAAGGCCGUGACGCAGGUGACGCCAAAAUUACCAACGUGUCCGUGUGCCACAUGUAAGAGUCCGUAGCGUGUCGUCAGUGUCCCGUAACCUAGGCACUGAGGUCGGGGAGGCAGGGAGCAGGAGGGGGAAGGACCGGCCCUCAGUGGCGGCCCCGCGGCGACUCUCUCCCGGCCAUCCCAGCGCACCCUUGUUUUCAAAAGCGCUAUUAAUUAAGUGCACGUGUACUCCGCCUUCUUUUUAAUGGAACUUUUGAUUUUUUUUCUUGUUUUGUGAGAGAAUGUGUGACAACUUGGCCGCCAGUCGAGUGUUUCCGUGGCACUCUUGGAUUAGUUGUUCUUUUUUAUUAAUGUAUACUUCGUUUAUUUAGUAUUGUAUUAAAAUCUUGAGUUGUGAUAUUCUCCUUGUUUUGUGAAGGGAUUCAUCUCAACUAGGCCGCUUGUUGAGUGUUUCUGUAGCUCUCAUGGAUUAGAUUAAUAGUUCUUGCCUCUCUUCUUAUCUUUAUGGUAAACUUCGUUUAUCAAAUAUUAUAUAAAAUCAUGAUAAUCAUUAUUUUUUUUACUUAUUUUGUAAUCUAAUCGGAUCUUGGGUUAGUAGUGUUUUUUUCUAUC